UUUAAUUCGACAGCGACGCUGUACGGACCUGCGAUGACAUUUUACGUUUUCAAUAAUUUCCUUCGAUAAUUGGUGAAAUAAUCGUUAAGCUGCUGAGCAAGUAAACUUAAAAUUUUUAUUGUUUUAAUGGGUAUUCACACAAAUUAAGGAUGAGUUCACAGAAAGGGAACGCCAGUCGCACGAGAUCACAAAAGUAUCAAAAUACUUUUACUUUUAAGAAUAAUCUGCACGAUAAGACACCGAAAACCAAGUACAUUAACAGCAUAAACGUUGGUAAUGUAUGCGAAAGAUGUAAGAAGAUUAUUGAGUGGAAAAUUAAAUACAAGAAGUACAAACCUCUGAAAGCUCCGACAAAGUGCACCAGAUGUCUGCAAAAAGUGGUGAAGGAAGCGUAUCACAUCAAGUGCACUUCAUGUGCGAAGGAAGACAAUACCUGCCCAAAAUGCGGAGAGAAAGCUGAGCUUGUUUCACCUAAAUUAACCGAAAAGGAUCAGUUUAAACUGGAUGCUGAAAUGCAGGCGAUGUUGAAAAGUUUACCCGAGCGUAGCAGGAGGACUUUCAUCCGAUUCGUCAACCGAAGAGGAAACUCAAAACAUAAAGAAACAGAAGAUGAAGAUAAGGAUAAUUCAGCGAAUAAAAAAUCCCUAAGCGAUCGUUCUUCCGAGGAACACAGAAACUAUGAUGCAGAGGAUACCGCAUUACACGAAGAAUUAUUAUUGAAGCUGAAAUCAAUGGCUUGCGACGAAAAAGACUGUGACUCCAGUAACCCAGAGGUCCGAACAUCUGCCGGAGGCCGAAAAAACGUGGAAAACCCAUUCGAAUAAGAAAGAUGGGAAAAGCUUGCGAGCCCGCUGUCCCCGAAAUUGAUUUGAUUUUACGAACCGGAGGAGGGAAUCCCAAUAUUCGGAGUGGAUUUUAUUCCUCCGACCUGGUGCCUAUUAAAAAUGUCGAGGGCGAUCCGCCGAGGUUUACGGAAUUGGAUCCAGACGAGGAUGAUCUAGCCUGAUCAUCGAUAAUGGAGAGAUUUUCCGGACAUCCCGAGGUCUGAAGUUCUAUCGAUUAUUCAAUCUACCCUGGCUUUUAUGGACGACGAGAUAGAGGUCGAAAAUAUUGAAGAAGAAAUCGUUGGAAUAAUCAACGACUGUCUGCGCAGCUUGAAAUAAAUCUACGUGUAACGGGAGUUCGCGGGGCUGAUAAAACAUUCGCGCUCUAUAAAUUCGGCAGUAUUCUUCGAGAUCGAGUCGGCCCGGAAGCGAUGAUUCCAUACUCUCAUAUGUUCAUGAUUAUUGCCCGAAAGCCAGUAUCUCAUCAAAGGCUUUCUGAGCAACAAUCAAAAGCAUAAAGAGUACCUUAUCGGCCAGGCUCGGGCUGUCAUCGAGCAGAAAAAACAUAUAGGCGUUUUUCGACGCUCCACCGGCAGCAACAAUGGCGUAAAUAUUUGCGACUGGCCGUGUGACUCUCACGCGAUCGCAGUUGGGCUAAAUAUUGAUCUGCGAGCGAGAUGACGUGGCCGUUUCUUUUGCAACAAUAAAAUAUCGUCCAAGGGGUUAACGGCCGUGACUCUACGGGAUUCGUAUGCAACGUUUGCGUUUACCGGCUCGGCAAUAAAGGACUCGAAGUGGACGCGACUGAUAUUUUAUAGUUGAAUACUUUGAUCGAACGGACGCUUUGAAGUGCGGGAAAUUUACAAGCGAGACGGCCGAGCCGUGCCCGAUGUAGACGUACAAAAGAGAAUUCGAUUUGCAAGUCUAUAAACGCGUGUUUCCGAGCGCCCGAGCAAAGAGGUGUUUGCCUCGGUAUGAUCUCUACAAGGGCAAUUAAAAUGGGCGUGCGAACUUGAAUUUAUUCCAAGAGGUAAUCCCCGUCCUCAUUUUUUUUCUUCACCGUCCCCUGUGCA